AGGGGUUUUAAACGAGGGACAUACGAUCCAUGUCACACGAUUUCUGUCAGGUUUUCUGAUGAUAUGGGAAUACCUGAAGAGGCUGUGGACUUAGGUGGACCAAGAAGAGAGUUUCUAAGACUUCUAUUGGAAGCUUUGCCCAAAUCUUCGAUGUUUGAGGGAGAAGAAGGCAAACUGAACUUGGCCUUUGACAGUACUGCCAUGAGAGAGGACCGGUACUUUAUUGCAGGCAGGGCCAUUGCAGUAAGCAUUGUACAUGGCGGUUCUCCCGCAGGCUUUCUGUCCCCAACUCUCUUCUCUUGCCUUGUUGAUGGCCCAGAAUUGGCUAAGCCAGUGUUGGAAGAUGUUGCGGAUAUUGACCUGCACGAAAAGAUUAAGAGGGUCACGGAGGGUAAAUCAUUGGAAGAUCUGCUAGCAACAACAUAACCACUUGAGGAGUAUUUGGCCAAUGCUGGCUGCCUGAGGCCGCUGCGGAGGUUGGAAGACAAGAAUCUGC